rnacentral:rRNA from 1 species
CGUGAGCAACCUGCCUAUUAGAGGGAAUAACAGUGAGAAAUCAUUGCUAAUACCGCAUAUGCUUACACUAUUGCAUGAUAGAGUAAGGAAAGGAGCAAUCCGCUAAUAGAUGGGCCCGCGUCUGAUUAGCUAGUUGGUGGGGUAGAAGCCUACCAAGGCGACGAUCAGUAGCCGGACUGAGAGGUUGAACGGCCACAUUGGGACUGAGAUACGGCCCAGACUCCUACGGGAGGCAGCAG